UGGGUGACAGAGCCAGACACUGUCUCAAAAAAAAAAAAAAAAAAAAGUUGUUGGGAACAGAUUAUGGGAGGAUAUUGGCCUAAAUAAUUCACUAAUUUAUUUAUCAUUUAACAUGGCAUUCCAAGUUCAAUAAGAAAAGUCAUCUUGCCGGAAAAAAAAGUGUGUGGGAGGGAGCAAGUGUUGGCUCAAAAUUUGCUUUGCCUGACUAAUGGAUCCUUGAGGAAACUCCCCAAACUCCUGGAAUCAGAUAUGAAAACGUUUUUCCUUUUUGUGGGAGUAGGGGGUAGAAGAUUAUGACUUUUGUUCCUAAGCAAGGCAAGCCAAGGUCAUUGCAACCUUCCUGCAUAAUUGUCAAAGUGAGAAGGCAGAGCACAAGCAUAUCCCCUGCCUGAAGCCCUUUUGUUUAGUUUCCUUUUGUAUCAAAAAGAUUGGCUUUCACCAUGGGAGAGGUUGUAAUUGGAUUUCACCAUGAAAGGAAGUUGUAAUUGGAUUUCUCAGCACUCUACAAGCUCUGUCCCUGGAAAAGCAAGGAAAAGGGGCCUGAAUAUCCUUUCUGCUAGCUGGAAACAGCCCAGCCAAGCCAUCAGAGAUUGACCUGAAAGAUGAGAAGACAGAGGCACAGAAUGGAUUAGAUUAAAACAACUAGAAGGUAUGAGUGCCAGGAUUCAAGUCCAGGCAGUCUGCCCCAGAAUUCCCCUCUAUAACCACUACACCAUAGCACAUCGUGAAGAUGGGAGGAAGCAGUGGGAACUUGAAAAAUGGAUUUAUUGCAGGGUUUGCUGCAGUAUGUGUAUCAUGUGAGGCCAUUUCUAUUUCUCUUUCUUUGCCUUCCCAGUUGUUUUUCCCCUGUAUGCCACAGUAAACUAGCCACUGUUUUAGCAGCUCUCUUGUUGAUUUUUAAAAUACCUAUUCACUAAAUCUUUAAAGGAAACAUUUAGCUACUGCAAUGGGUGUACAUAAGUUGGUUGUGUAAUAGGAAGGAAACAAGCCAGGACUGGAGACUUCAUUUCUAAAGAAGGAUUUUAAAGCAGACUAAGAGUUAUUUCCCAGAGCAGGUCAUGAAGCAGGAGUCUCUCUACACCCUUUCAUUGCUAUGACGACAGCCUGCUCCUGCUACAUGCAGCCAGAAAAAGCAGCUUACAUUUCAAUGCUAGGAACAUAGGGGAGAGGUUUACAAAAACACCAAACAAAGACAAAAAAACAAAAAAAAGACUCUUUCACUUGAAUUUCAGUUAGAGAGGAAAAAAUAUCCCCUGGAGCAAGUCAAAAGCCCUAUUCUUGCCUUUAGAAGAGAUAAGAAAGAAGAAAUGUUGGGGGCUUUCCCUCUUGUCCAAGUGGGCCAAUAAAACAGAAUUGACAGCAAAGCAGCAUUUCUUCUCACUCUGUGUAAUGGCAAGCUGGCAUAGAACACUUUCUUUGGUUUCCUUUGACUUGGCCAUUAAGAAGCUACUAACUGAUGCAGCAGUGAAGUCUCAUAGUAAUAAAUACCUCGUGUUGAGGCCCCCCACCAGGGGAAAAUAGUAGUGUCCGAUUUACUUUUACAUUUCUUUGGAUAAAAAAGGCAAUUCAAAGAAUAUUUCCUUCUUGAUCUCCAUUGUUACUACCAGAGAAAUCAUUGCAAGUAUGUAACAGAGGCCUCACUGAUAUACGAGAUUCCUUAUGAGCAACCAGUCAACUUUCCUAUGUGUUUACUUCUCUGCCAGGUGCUAUACUUGGCAUUUAAUAAACAUCACAUUUCAUUCCUA